rnacentral:rRNA from 1 species
CCAGAGAUGGAUUGGUGCCUUCGGGAACUCUGAGACAGGUGCUGCAUGGCUGUCGUCAGCUCGUGUUGUGAAAUGUUGGGUUAAGUCCCGCAACGAGCGCAACCCUUUAUCCUUUGUUGCCAGCGGUUAGGCCGGGAACUCAAAGGAGACUGCCAGUGAUAAACUGGAGGAAGGUGGGGAUGACGUCAAGUCAUCAUGGCCCUUACGAGUAGGGCUACACACGUGCUACAAUGGCGCAUAUAAAGAGAAGCGACCUCGCGAGAGCAAGCGGACCUCAUAAAGUGCGUCGUAGUCCGGAUUGGAGUCUGCAACUCGACUCCAUGAAGUCGGAAUCGCUAGUAAUCGUGGAUCAGAAUGCCACGGUGAAUACGUUCCCGGGCCUUGUACACACCGCCCGUCACACCAUGGGAGUGGGUUGCAAAAGAAGUAGGUAGCUUAACCUUCGGGAGGGCGCUUACCACUUUGUGAUUCAUGACUGGGGUGAAGUCGUAACAAGGUAGGCGUAGUGCU